rnacentral:rRNA from 1 species
UACAGAGGUCCCAAGCGUUGUUCGGAUUCACUGGGCGUAAAGGGUGCGUAGGCGGUCGGGUAAGUCUGAUGUGAAAUCUCACAGCUUAACUGUGAAACUGCAUUGGAUACUAUCCGGCUCGAGGAAUGGAGGGGAGACUGGAAUACGUGGUGUAGCAGUGAAAUGCGUAGAUAUCAAGUGGAACACCAGUGGCGAAGGCGAGUCUCUGGACAUUUCCUGACGCUGAGGCACGAAAGCCAGGGGAGCAAACGGG